AAGUCGUAACAAGGUUUCCGUAGGUGAACCUGCGGAAGGAUCAUUACUGAAUGAAUUUGAUGAGUUGUUGCUGGCUCUAAAUUCUGAGCAAGUGCACACUUGUCAUUUUUGUCUUUCCACCCUGUGCACCAUGCAUGGAAGCAUCUAUCUGAUCAAAGGCAACUUUGGUCUUUGGAAAUUGCUAUUAUCAAUGAAUAGCUUUUUCUGUCUGCUUCUAUGAUUUUAUACAAACUUGUCUAUUAAAGAACGAUAUUUUAAUGGGCUUACACAGUCCAAUAAACUAUAUACAACUUUCAGCAACGGAUCUCUUGGCUCUC
rnacentral:misc_RNA from 1 species